rnacentral:rRNA from 1 species
GACGAACGCUGGCGGCGUGCCUAAUACAUGCAAGUAGAACGCUGAAGCGAGGAGCUUGCUCUUCUUGGAUGAGUUGCGAACGGGUGAGUAACGCGUAGGUAACCUGCCUUGUAGCGGGGGAUAACUAUUGGAAACGAUAGCUAAUACCGCAUAACAAUGGAUGACACAUGUCAUUUAUUUGAAAGGGGCAAUUGCUCCACUACAAGAUGGACCUGCGUUGUAUUAGCUAGUAGGUGAGGUAAUGGCUCACCUAGGCGACGAUACAUAGCCGACCUGAGAGGGUGAUCGGCCACACUGGGACUGAGACACGGCCCAGACUCCUACGGGAGGCAGCAGUAGGGAAUCUUCGGCAAUGGGGGCAACCCUGACCGAGCAACGCCGCGUGAGUGAAGAAGGUUUUCGGAUCGUAAAGCUCGGUUGUAAGUCAAGAACGGGUGUGAGAGUGGAAAGUUCACACUGUGACGGUAGCUUACCAGAAAGGGGCGGCUAACUACGUG